rnacentral:rRNA from 1 species
AUGAACGCUAGCUACAGGCUUAACACAUGCAAGUCGAGGGGCAGCAUGGUCUUAGCUUGCUAAGGCCGAUGGCGACCGGCGCACGGGUGAGUAACACGUAUCCAACCUGCCGUCUACUCUUGGACAGCCUUCUGAAAGGAAGAUUAAUACAAGAUGGCAUCAUGAGUCCGCAUGUUCACAUGAUUAAAGGUAUUCCGGUAGACGAUGGGGAUGCGUUCCAUUAGAUAGUAGGCGGGGUAACGGCCCACCUAGUCUUCGAUGGAUAGGGGUUCUGAGAGGAAGGUCCCCCACAUUGGAACUGAGACACGGUCCAAACUCCUACGGGAGGCAGCAGUGAGGAAUAUUGGUCAAUGGGCGAGAGCCUGAACCAGCCAAGUAGCGUGAAGGAUGACUGCCCUAUGGGUUGUAAACUUCUUUUAUAAAGGAAUAAAGUCGGGUAUGCAUACCCGUUUGCAUGUACUUUAUGAAUAAGGAUCGGCUAACUCCGUGCCAGCAGCCGCGGUAAUACGGAGGAUCCGAGCGUUAUCCGGAUUUAUUGGGUUUAAAGGGAGCGUAGAUGGAUGUUUAAGUCAGUUGUGAAAGUUUGCGGCUCAACCGUAAAAUUGCAGUUGAUACUGGAUAUCUUGAGUGCAGUUGAGGCAGGCGGAAUUCGUGGUGUAGCGGUGAAAUGCUUAGAUAUCACGAAGAACUCCGAUUGCGAAGGCAGCCUGCUAAGCUGCAACUGACAUUGAGGCUCGAAAGUGUGGGUAUCAAACAGGAUUAGAUACCCUGGUAGUCCACACGGUAAACGAUGAAUACUCGCUGUUUGCGAUAUACUGCAAGCGGCCAAGCGAAAGCGUUAAGUAUUCCACCUGGGGAGUACGCCGGCAACGGUGAAACUCAAAGGAAUUGACGGGGGCCCGCACAAGCGGAGGAACAUGUGGUUUAAUUCGAUGAUACGCGAGGAACCUUACCCGGGCUUAAAUUGCAGAUGAAUUACGGUGAAAGCCGUAAGCCGCAAGGCAUCUGUGAAGGUGCUGCAUGGUUGUCGUCAGCUCGUGCCGUGAGGUGUCGGCUUAAGUGCCAUAACGAGCGCAACCCUUGUUGUCAGUUACUAACAGGUUCCGCUGAGGACUCUGACAAGACUGCCAUCGUAAGAUGUGAGGAAGGUGGGGAUGACGUCAAAUCAGCACGGCCCUUACGUCCGGGGCUACACACGUGUUACAAUGGGGGGUACAGAGGGCCGCUACCACGCGAGUGGAUGCCAAUCCCCAAAACCUCUCUCAGUUCGGACUGGAGUCUGCAACCCGACUCCACGAAGCUGGAUUCGCUAGUAAUCGCGCAUCAGCCACGGCGCGGUGAAUACGUUCCCGGGCCUUGUACACACCGCCCGUCAAGCCAUGGGAGCCGGGGGUACCUGAAGUGCGUAACCGCGAGGAGCGCCCUAGGGUAAAACUGGUGACUGGGGCU